rnacentral:rRNA from 1 species
CGGACACCGGGAGGUAGUGACAAAAAAUAGCAAUAGGGGGCCCGAUGGGCUCUCUAAUUGGAAUGAGAACAACGUAAACAACUUAUCGAGGAACCAGCAGAGGGCAAGUCUGGUGCCAGCAGCCGCGGUAAUUCCAGCUCUGUAAGCGUAUACCAAAGUUGUUGCAGUUAAAACGCUCGUAGUCGGAUUUUGGCGGGAGACGCAGGCCGUCCGCGAGGACGAACUUGCGUCUGACGCCUUUGUGGAGGGGGGCUUGGUGGUGCUUUACUGCAUUGCUGAGUCGCUGCCACCGUUUACUGUGAAUAAAUUAGAGUGUUCAAAGCAAGCAAUUUGCCCUGAAUACAUUAGCAUGGAAUAAUAGAAUAGGACCUGGUCUUGUUUCUAUUGGUUUGUAAAGUUCAGGUAAUGAUUAAGAGGGACGGUUGGGGGCAUUUGUAUUCCGGCGCUAGAGGUGAAAUUCUUGGAUUGCCGGAAGACAAACAGCUGCGAAAGCGUCUGCCAAGGACGUUUUCAUUGAUCAAGAACGAAAGUAAGGGGAUCGAAGACGAUCAGAUACCGUCGUAGUCUUUACUAUAAACGAUGAGGACUGGGGAUCGGACGUGGCAAUAUGGUACGUUCGGCACCCUCCGGGAAACCAAAGUUUUUGCUUUCUGGGGGGAGUAUGGUCGCAAGGCUGAAACUUAAAGGAAUUGACGGAAGGGCAUCACCGGGUGUGGAGCCUG